CAGGCUCCCCUCGGCGGGGCUGAAUGAUCAAAACUGGUGGAGCGCGGUCGGGUGGGAUGGGCAGGCGAGAAGGCCGUUUUCCUUGUCCCGGCCUGCGGGUCCCUCCCUGAAAAGCAGUGUCAGAUGGUUACUGAUUAAUAUUUUGGAGAGGCCGCGGCGGCGGGCAGCGGGUGAGUCUAAUCUCCUAAAAGGGGUUCCUAUAGAAACGCGCGCGGGUCGGGGCGCGCCCCCUUCUCGGCCCCGGCUGGGGCUGCGGCGCUUCUGCACCGCGCGCCCCUCCCCAAAGCCCCUCUUGGCGUGGGCGGUCCCCUCCUCCUUCCCCCCGCAAAAAAAAAUCAGAGCAGAAAAAAGGAUUAGAUCGGCUGAGCGCGAGCUGAAUCCCUCUCGAUUCUGACAUUUCAGCCUAUUAGCAUUUCUCCACGGGGCCUUCUGAAACCUAUUAAAGUGUAAUAUUAAAAACCUCUUGGCUGGGGGCCUCUCUCGCCUUCCAUCCGCCGCGCCCCCUCCAGGGAGGGCGAGACCGGGAAAAAAAAAAAUCUGUUGAGCUCAGAGGAAGCAGCAGCCAAGCCCAAAAGUGCUUGGCUGGCCACGGCGGCCAGAGGGGGAGGGGAGCCCCAAUCCCCCAGACUUUGUACUUUAUUUUGCGCUUUCAGCAAAAUCCUUUCUGGGUUGAGUAGCCGGGAGCUGCCCGCAGCAGACCUACCUGGCUAGAGGCGCAGGGAAUGCGGACCCCGCGGGAGGGAGAGUCCUAGGGGCCCCGCACCCUCUCCGCAGCCCCGGCAGGCACCCGAGUCCAGCUAGGCAUUACGUACCCUCGAAAGGAAGCUUGAAGGGGCAGAAAUCCUGCUGAUCCUGCCUCGGAGAGCAACCGUGGUGAUAGGAUUUUAAUUAAAACAAGAGAAGCCCGCUCUUUCGCCCCGCGCUGCGGACUCAGCGUUUUCGCAUCGCUCCUAUUUUUUUUAAUCCAUUUUUAAGGCAACUUUUCUGCAGGGGGGAAAAUGAGCUAGUUAGCGCCCAUUCGUUCUAUUUUCUUUUCACCACUUUUAGAAAAAAGGGGGAAGGGUUCGAGAGCGAACUGGGGGUGUCUAAUUUAAUUCCAGGAUAAAUUUGAGGAAAAAAGUUCGGCCUCAGGAGGGCAGUUUCAAGUUGCCCUUCUUGGAUCCUCCUGCGCUGGUUUCUAGGCUGCCCUCUUUUGGAAGCUGGAGCUCCGCGGGGGAGGAGGGAGGAGUGAAGAGAGAAAGGAACGAAAAUAGCCGGAGCCAAGGGGAAGGAGCGGCGGUGUCCGCGCUUGGAGCUGGGCGCGCGGGUCUCAGUGGCAGCCGGGGCGGCGGGAGACGCCCGGUGCAGCCCCAGGACGGCCAGGAGCAAAGACCGAAAGGAGAGGGGGGUUAGAGAAAGGAGGUAUUGUGUCUGUGUGCCUUAGGGGAGGGGGGCGACUGCAGAAAUAAAAUAAAUGCAGCUGAGCUGCGCGGGACUGCUGGAAGCCAGGGCAAGGGAAGGGGCCGUGUGUGGGGGCGCCGAGCGCCCUUGAGUCUUAUCCACAGGCCUUUGUGGGUUCCUAUUAAGCCCUCCCACGCCCGAGUCCCCAUCGCUUCCCCCGCCCCCAUCGCCCUUCAAUAUUAGAGGAGUACAGGCCCUGAAUCCCCCACCCCCUUAGCCCGCCCGGGAUCUGGAACGGUUUUAUUUUAAUAUAGCUCAAGAAAAAAUAUGUAUCUUGAGAGUUGGGGUGGGGAAUAAUACAAAAGACUUGCGGGCUGGAAAAAAACAAAGGCCUAUUUUUAUAAAUGUUUAAUGUUUUCACCCCUGGAUGCUCCAAGACGCCGUAAUUGUGACGGCGGGGUAUGUGUGCCAUAAAUCAUUUAGUUGCUAAUAAAAAUUCUGCCUGUUUGCCCUGGA